AACGAACGCUGGCGGCAUGCCUAACACAUGCAAGUCGAACGAGACCUUCGGGUCUAGGGGCGCACGGGUGCGUAACGCGUGGGAACCUGCCCUUAGGUUCGGAAUAACUCCCCGAAAGGGGUGCUAAUACCGGAUAAUGUCUUCGGACCAAAGAUUUAUUGCCUUUGGAUGGGCCCGAGUUGGAUUAGCUAGUUGGUAGGGUAAAAGCCUACCAAGGCGACGAUCCAUAGCUGGUCUGAGAGGAUGAUCAGCCACACUGGGACUGAGACACGGCCCAGACUCCUACGGGAGGCAGCAGUGGGGAAUAUUGGACAAUGGGCGAAAGCCUGAUCCAGCAAUGCCGCGUGAGUGAUGAAGGCCUUAGGGUUGUAAAGCUCUUUUACCCGGGAUGAUAAUGACAGUACCGGGAGAAUAAGCUCCGGCUAACUCCGUG
rnacentral:rRNA from 1 species